rnacentral:rRNA from 1 species
UACGGGGGGGGGCAAGCGUUGUUCGGACUUACUGGGCGUAAAGGGCUCGUAGGCGGCCAACUAAGUCGGAUGUGAAAUCCCCAGGCUUAACCUGGGAACUGCGUCGGAUACUGGAUGGCUUGAAUCCGGGAGAGGGAUGCAGAAUUCCAGGUGUAGCGGUGAAAUGCGUAGAUAUCUGGAGGAAUACCGGUGGCGAAGGCGGCAUCCUGGACCGGCAUUGACGCUGAAGCGCGAAAGCUAGGGGAGCAAACGGG